ensembl:lncRNA
CACAGGGUUUACCUCUCUUACAGAAACCUCUUGAGCUUUCAGUUUUUAAUUGGUGAAAUUUUUACUCUGUCCAACUCUACAAAGCAUUAUAUAUAUUUUUUGAGAAGACCAUUACUGUUUUAAUGUUGGUAUAAAAAACAAGUUCCCAGCCUCCUCCAGCAACACCUGCUGUCAACAGAGAAUGGAGCACCUGCAGAGAGCACCUAAAAACACGUGGUUCCUUGUUCUGAAUAAUCUAGAAUGGGAUCCCCUUCUCUGAUUAUUCUAGUCUAGCAACAAGCUGACUAAAUGUGGUAAGCAAUUGUAGAAUUGCUCAGGUUGAAAAAGACCUUCAAGACCAUCAAGUCCAACCACAAUAUUGAGCUCUAAAAGUGCUUUGUUCAUAUUUCAUGACAGUUGACUUCAAAAACUGUUUGGUGAACUUCCCUAAGGAAAAAAAAACAAAACAAAACUGAGCCAAUUGUUCUUUAAGACUUAGCAUGGAAAUGUUUGUAGGAAGUCUGAAUAAAAUGCAGUUCAGGCCCAAUUUUUGCCCAGUAUGUUUGUGUGAAACAGCAAUCUGAAUUCAGACACAUGUACUUCCCAUCAGAUUGGGCUUUUAGAAAUUAACACAAGGAAUAAUCCCAUGUUACAGAAUGGAUUUUAAUUUUCCCUGCAAUUAAAGUGGUUCUGCUUUACAUCGGAGCAAAAACUAAGCUUUGGCAAUGUAGUGAAACAGUAGAGAAUGCUCCUCAAAUUAGUUACAGAAAUUGAAUGCCAGGGCAAAUUAGAAAGAGGCAGGAGGGGGUGAAAUAUUUUAUUUUAAAAAUACUCUGUAAAGACGAAGAGGCAGUAAAUUAAUAAGUGAGCUUUCACAGUUAUUCAUGGAAACACGUUUGAAAAAAAAACGUGGGGUUGGUUUGUUUAUAAUUUGGCAGAAUUUUCCAGUGUUUUGUCAGUUUUUCACAGGCCUCCGUGCAUAGGGCUCAUUGGGAGGAUCACCAGAAAUCCUUGAGGAAGACUUCAGAAAGGAUGAACCAAACAUGGAGGAAUGCAGCUGAAAUGGCAGUGGAAGGCAACAGACUCAAAACCAGGCGUUUCUUUUGAAAAUCCUUCCAUCUCAAAGGCAAAACGCAAAGUGGCGUGACCUCAAAAACAGUAGACAGGUAUGUCUCUGUGUGUGCUUUCCAUUUUCUAUCUCUGCCCAUUUGUCCUUCACUGUACAGCUAAAAAUGAACAUAAUUCAGGAGGCAGCCACAUUUUUAUACAUGCUAGUUUUUAUCCACUUGACAGUGCAUGCACAUUAAUGUUAUGAUAACAUGUCAUAUGAUAUUUUUUCUUCUCUUUUGUUCUCAAAGUAAAUAUAUACUUCAAAAUUUUAGCAUAAUUUUUUAUUAUCAAAUGCAUCGUGUUUUUAGCAGAAAGCGUUCGUAAAUAGUCUAGAUUUUGAACCAGCCUAUGUAAAAUUCUGCAUGUGGGAAUCCUGAAAGGAAGAGGUUUCGGUUGCAGUCCAUUAGCAAAUUCUCAUCUCUGGACUGAAGAUGUAUAUGCAUAAGUAGGGAAAUUGAAAAAUGUUGUUAGGUAGUCAGAAAGCUUCCAAAGGGAUCUCCGGACAAGGAGCUACAGUAAUACCAUUAGAUGGGUAUUAUUAUGAAAAGAAAAAGAAUAAUUUAAAAGUGAGGACAAUAGGAACACCCACAAUGCAUCAAGUAAUUUUUUUAUUCCCCCAAAUUUUACAUGGAAGUGCAAACAUUGAAAGUCUUAAUUUUCAGACAUCAACUGAUCCUGAAUAACUUCCAUUACUUUGUUCAACUGAAGGAUUACCCAUGAAGAUAUUUUAUUUUAAAAAAAUGUAAAAUGUGAAUGCCAAGCUGACCACUGUCUUGGAAAACCAAGAUUUAAUUCUCAAAGUCGGUGAGCUCUUCUCCCAGAAUUUCCAGGUUUGUGGUCCAUGGGCAAUGUCUUUGUCUGAUAUACAUUGUGUCCUUCUGCUUUAAUUAAUAUAAUACCUCUGUGGACAACAGUGAGGUUGAGAGAGAACCUGUCAUUUGUUCCCAUCUUGUCCUCACAUGCAGGGAUGUCCAGAAAGCCCUAGAUCACUGGAUGAGUUUUAAAGGCUCUGGAAAACUCAAAGACAGAAGAAACAGGUCUAGCUGAGCUGAAAAUCUUUACUUCUUUAUCUUUUCCUUGAGAAUUCAAAGAGAUAAAGAGCUGCAUUAAAGGGGCUGUCAUGGUUUUAUGAUUUUUGGUUAUUGCUAUUCCACAUCAUAACAUCAUGUAGUGCACUGGGAGUUAAAGAGUUAAUGCUCCAGUUCCGGGCACCUGUCCAGAAAAGAAAAAGAACUACAUUCCCCAGAAGACUGUUCACUGUUCUAUUAUCAUUCCUGCUUAGGGGGAACACAUAGAAGGCCUCAGUAGGUCAUCUGAUGUCCCUCUUUUUGAUCGUGAGGCUCUCUUGCUGCUGCUCGUCCCAACCGCACACCAUUAGUAUCAUUGCUGUUGUUUUUAAUGUUUUGGGAUCCCCUGCUUCCCCAUUCCACACGAGUCACCACAAUUGAUGUCAGUUUCUCCUGUAAGAGGAUGGAAAAUGAAACAAAUCUCAUCUCACUUAGAACAGAAGAAAGAGGAGGAGGAGAAAGUAGAGGAAGCAGACACUGCUAGAGAAGAGGAGGAAAAAGGUCCAGAGGAGUGGCUCUGAGGUCCAGGGCAUCCAGAGGGAGAGCUGAGAUCCCCAAUAAGAUCGUGGUCACCAGCGCCCAGGAGGGUAACAAGAAGUCCUGAAAGAGAAGGAGCUGAGCAAGAUACCGUCACCAUUACUGAUUGAUCUCUGAAAAUGAAUUAAAUUUGAGGUCUGAGAAAAGAAUUUUCAUGCCACCCAAAUGAGCCUAUUGUCACCUGGUUACUUCGAUGCUGGGACAACAGUGUGUGGCUAGAUAGUAGAGAAGCUUGCCAACUGGGUGGCAUUGCUAGGGACUCAGCCAUUGACAAAGGUAUUAGUACAUGCCAGAGCCAGGUCUUUACCCUCUGGAAGCAGAUGCUGUUAGCUGUAAAAGAAAGAUACCCCUUCAAAGACGAUCUGAUGCCUGAGAAAAAGAAAUGGACUCAUAUGGAAGAAGGCAUUCAUUAUUUGAGUGAAUAUGCUUGGUGGAAAUGUUACACAGCCCCACUUUCAUUCCUGAUGAACCAGCCCAUAAACUGUCAACAAGGGCCUGAGUAUUUAUCAGUGGUACCAGCAGUUGUUAAUAGACCACAGACAAAGGGGUCUCAAAGACCUGAAUGCAGAGUGAUAGAAAGUCAUUUUUUCAUGAAGUUUGGACAAGAAUAUAUUAUGUCAUUUACACUACCAUGGUUACAGGAGGAGGGAGAAGGUUUCUGUAGUCUUUCAGUCACUCAUUGCUAAGGAAAAUUGAUCUUUCUGCACUAGGAAGAAGCUUGUCUGUGCAGGAGAGGGCUUCCUCAGAGGGUGGUUUCAAGGACUCAAUUGGACAAUAUGUUUAUCUUCUUGGAUGCUGAAUAUAAUAAGCUGACGUGAAUAUAAUAAGGGAUAACACCAUAUAAUUCAAACAAGGUAAUCCUGACAAAGAAGCAAAUCAGUCAGUGGACAUCACCUAUUGUUCUGCCUGGUUUCAUUUGAGUGUUAGUAGAAGACCAACUCUUCUAUACAACAUCUAACAGUUUGCUAAAUACACAACUAAUUCACUUAUUGGAGGUGAUACUUAUCAAAAAGCUGAGAGGAAUUUGCACAUUGAAAUAUAUUUAUGGUCAUGUGAACAAGGAAGUGACCUGUUGGAGAUGGACCUUGGGUUCCUGAGGAGAAAAGUUAAAGUCGGCAGUAUUUCUCAAAUCAGAAGCAGAUCUUUCCAAACCAAGAUUGAAGUUAACUUUACCAACCGUGUGCCUUAGAAAGAAUCUACCCAGCCUGG